rnacentral:rRNA from 1 species
UACGUAGGGCGCGAGCGUUGUCCGGAAUUAUUGGGCGUAAAGAGCUCGUAGGCGGCCUGUUGCGUCCGCUGUGAAAUCCCGGGGCUUAACCCCGGGCGUGCAGUGGAUACGGGCUGGCUGGAGGCAGGCAGGGGAGAACGGAAUUCCCGGUGUAGCGGUGAAAUGCGUAGAUAUCAGGAGGAACACCGGUGGUGUAGACGGCUUUCUGGACCGUAACUGACGCUGAGACACGAAAGCGUGGGUAGCAAACAGG